AGUGAACGCUGGCGGUAGGCCUAACGCAUGCAAGUCGAACGGCAGCACAGUAAGAGCUUGCUCUUACGGGUGGCGAGUGGCGGACGGGUGAGGAAUACAUCGGAAUCUACUUUUUCGUGGGGGAUAACGUAGGGAAACUUACGCUGAUACCGCAUACGACCUACGGGUGAAAGCAGGGGAUCUUCGGACCUUGCGCGAUUGAAUGAGCCGAUGUCGGAUUAGCUAGUUGGCGGGGUAAAGGCCCACCAAGGCGACGAUCCGUAGCUGGUCUGAGAGGAUGAUCGGCCACACUGGAACUGAGACACGGUCCAGACUCCUACGGGAGGCAGCAGUGGGGAAUAUUGGACAAUGGGCGCAAGCCUGAUCCAGCCAUACCGCGUGGGUGAAGAAGGCCUUCGGGUUGUAAAGCCCUUCUGUUGGGAAAGAAAAGCAGCAGGUUAAUCCCCCGCUGUUCUGACGGUACCCAAAGAAUAAGCACCGGCUAACUUCGUG
rnacentral:rRNA from 1 species